rnacentral:rRNA from 1 species
AGAGUUUGAUCCUGGCUCAGAUUGAACGCUGGCGGCAUGCUUUACACAUGCAAGUCGGACGGCAGCACAGAGAAGCUUGCUUCUUGGGUGGCGAGUGGCGAACGGGUGAGUAAUAUAUCGGAACGUACCGAGUAAUGGGGGAUAACUAAUCGAAAGAUUAGCUAAUACCGCAUAUUCUCUGAGGAGGAAAGCAGGGGACCUUCGGGCCUUGCGUUAUUCGAGCGGCCGAUAUCUGAUUAGCUAGUUGGUGGGGUAAAGGCCUACCAAGGCGACGAUCAGUAGCGGGUCUGAGAGGAUGAUCCGCCACACUGGGACUGAGACACGGCCCAGACUCCUACGGGAGGCAGCAGUGGGGAAUUCUGGACAAUGGGCGCAAGCCUGAUCCAGCCAUGCCGCGUGUCUGAAGAAGGCCUUCGGGUUGUAAAGGACUUUUGUCAGGGAAGAAAAGGCUGUUGCUAAUAUCGACAGCUGAUGACGGUACCUGAAGAAUAAGCACCGGCUAACUACGUGCCAGCAGCCGCGGUAAUACGUAGGGUGCGAGCGUUAAUCGGAAUUACUGGGCGUAAAGCGAGCGCAGACGGUUACUUAAGCAGGAUGUGAAAUCCCCGGGCUCAACCUGGGAACUGCGUUCUGAACUGGGUGACUAGAGUGUGUCAGAGGGAGGUAGAAUUCCACGUGUAGCAGUGAAAUGCGUAGAGAUGUGGAGGAAUACCGAUGGCGAAGGCAGCCUCCUGGGAUAACACUGACGUUCAUGCUCGAAAGCGUGGGUAGCAAACAGGAUUAGAUACCCUGGUAGUCCACGCCCUAAA